CCUACGGGCGGCUGCAGUGGGGGAUAUUGCACAAUGGGGGAAACCCUGAUGCAGCGACGCCGCGUGUGGGAUGACGGCCCUCUGGAUUGUAAACCACUGUUCCCAGGGACGAAGAUGACGGUACUUGGGGAGGAAGCUCCGGCCAACUACGUGCCAGCAGACGCGGUAAUACGUAGGGAGCGAGCGUUUCCUGGAAUUACUGGGGGUAACGGGAGCGUAGGCGGGGAUGCAAGUUGGGGGUCAAAACUACCGGCUCAACUGGUAGUCGGGGUCGAAACUGCGGCUAUUGAGUGAAGUAGAGGCAAGCGGAAUUCCUGGUGUAGCGGUGAAAUGCGUAGAUAUUAGGAGGAACACCAGUGGCGAAGGCGGCGUGCUGGGGUUUAACUGACGCUGAGGCUCGAAAGUGUGGGGAGCGAACAGGAUUAGAUACCCCGGUAGUC
rnacentral:rRNA from 1 species